AUGGGUCUGGGAACAGGUGGUGUAUUGCAAAGCGUCCGAGAUUCACAAAACCAUAAUGAAGCGGAAAUAUCACCAUUUGGAGAUGCGAAGAUGAUGAAGAUGUGUAGCAGGGAGAUUGAGAAAGAGAGAAGGAGCAAUGAAUCUGAAUUGAAUGCAGAUCUGGACUGUUGGAUAAUUGAUGCAGGGCUGCAGUUUGAGACCAUUUUGAUAUAA